rfam:Daphnia pulex DAPPTscaffold_12145_Cont18310, whole genome shotgun sequence.
GGAACGAUGGUGUAAUGGAAGCACACCUCAACCAAGAGGAGAUGGCGCCGGUUCAAUCCCGGCUCGUUCCC